ensembl:snRNA U6 U6 spliceosomal RNA
GUGCUCACUUCAGCAGCAUAUAUACUAAAAUUGGAGCAAUACAGAGAUUAGCACGGAUCCUGUGCAAGGAAUACAAAAGUCCUUCUAAAACAUUCAUCACUAAG